GGUCUCUGAGGAGGAGCCAGGCCCGACCGCAUUGUUCCACACUCACCGCCCCGAGCGCGCGGCGCCGGCCGGGGAGGGCGCGCGGGGCGCGGGGCGCUCGGCUUCCCGGGCUCCCCCUGCCGCGGAACCCCUAAGAGGCUCGAGCCUGCCCGCGCGGCCCGAGACGCCUCCGCCCGGGGGGGUCCCCGGAGGGAGGGGCCUGCUCAGGUGGGGCGCGGGGAGGGGAGGCAGCGGGCGCCGACGGGGGCCCGGGAAGUGCCGGCGGGCCGCCCUCCCCACCCCCCCGCGGUGCAGCUCCCCCCGCCCCCCACCGCCGCUGGGUCCGCGGGCCCGGAAGCCGGGUGGGCGGCGCGGGAGCCGGAGCCCCCGCCUCCCUUCGUCCGCACCCCGAGCCCCGUGGGGCCAUGGCCGCGGGGCUCGGCCGCAGGGAGCCGGCGCGCGGAUGCCGGGGCGCCCCUCCGUAGCGGGGCGCCGCCUCCCGGGCUCCCGCGGGGCCGGCGGCAUGGGCGGCGGGGGAUCGGCCCUGAGGGUCUGCGCCGACCACCGCGGGGGCAUCAACUGGCUCAGCCUGAGCCCGGACGGGCAGCGCCUGCUGACGGGCAGCGAGGACGGCACGGCCCGGCUCUGGAGCACCGCGGACGGCCGGUGCUGCGCCCUCCUGCAAGGCCACGAGAGCUACGUGACCUUCUGCCAGCUGGAAGACGAGGCCGCCUUCACGUGCAGCGCGGACUGUACCAUCCGGAAGUGGGACGUGCAGACCGGGCAGUGCCUGCAGGUGUUUCGAGGGCACACGUCCAUCGUGAACAGAAUCCUGGUGGCCAAUGACCAGCUGUUCAGCAGCUCCUACGACCGGACGGCGCGAGCCUGGAGCGUGGCCGCAGGGAAGGUGUCCCAGGAGUUCAGGGGCCACCGCAACUGCGUGCUGACCCUCGCCUACUCGGCCCCCUGGGACCUGCCCGGGGCUCCCUGCGCCGAGGAGGCCGGGGGGCUGCUGGUGACGGGCAGCACGGACGGCACGGCCCGGGUGUGGCAGGCGGCCAGUGGCCGCUGCCAGCAGACGCUGCAGGGCCACACGGGCGCCGUGCUCUGCCUGGUGCUGGACGCGCCCGGCCACACGGCCUUCACCGGCAGCACCGACGCCACCAUCCGCGCCUGGGACAUCCUGAGCGGGGAGCAGCUGCGGGUGUUCAGGGAGCACCAGGGCUCUGUCAUCUGUCUGGAGCUCGUGAACCGGCACGUGUACUCGGGCAGCGCGGACAGGACGGUCAAGUGCUGGCUGGCAGACACGGGGGAGCGUGUGCGCACGUUUGCAGCCCACGGACACAGCGUGAGCGCCCUCAAAUACCACGCAGGCACCUUGUUCACGGGCAGCGGGGACGCCCGCGCGCGCGCCUUCGAUGCCGAGUCCGGAGCGCUGCAGAGGGUGUUCCGCGGUCACGCCUUCGUCAUCAACUGCAUCCAGCUUUCGCUCCUGCGUCGUCUCGGGUCCCAUCCCACGCUCCCCCGUCCUGUCCAUCUGUAACAGAGACUGAAGCACACAAGCUGUGAUAUCCGCAGAGAAACUGCCCCUGGGUGCAGACUGGAAAACAGGAGCGGCUGCGGUUUUGUUCUCCCGCCCGCCUCUCCGGGACAGAGCAGGGAGUGGAACGCGGCCGGCUUGGAUUUACGUCGUGGAAUAUACUUGAGGAAUUUGUGUUUCUCCAUCACAGUUUGGCUAGAUGUUGAGGAUGUAAAGACCAGAUAACCAGAAUGACACAAAAGAUUCCCACCCACCCAACCUGGACGGCUGUCCGAGCUUUGCGAAUGUGAUUGGUGAAGAAGCAGCAGUUCCACCAGCCCGUCGAUGGCGGUGAGGUGACCCGUCUGUCCACGGUCACAGGCGUUUCCAGAGACUUCCGGAGGGGCAGGAGAGGGGUAGGAGCACACGUGGCAUGUGAGUCGGCGCAUGGCUGCUGCCGGCUGCAUCCUGGUGCUGGACCAGCUUUUCCUCUCCUCCACGACUACCGGCGAAUGCGCGGCGCAGUGAGACGCCAACUACGCAUCUUCAGAAACAGUCCUGUGUCGCAGAUCUACCAACGAAACCCACCACCCUGGAGAAAAGAGACCCUAACAGUCUCUGACAGGCAUCUCAGCCAGCAGCGAGGUUAA